rnacentral:rRNA from 1 species
AUUGAACGCUGGCGGCAUGCCUUACACAUGCAAGUCGAACGGUAACGGGCCUUCGGGUGCCGACGAGUGGCGAACGGGUGAGUAAUGCAUCGGAACGUACCUUUCUGUGGGGGAUAACGUAGCGAAAGUUACGCUAAUACCGCAGAUUCUGUGAGCAGGAAAGUAGGGGAUCGCAAGACCUUGCGCUGAUUGAGCGGCCGAGGGCAGAUUAGCUAGUUGGUGAGGUAAAGGCUCACCAAGGCGACGAUCUGUAGCGGGUCUGAGAGGAUGAUCCGCCACACUGGAACUGAGACACGGUCCAGACUCCUACGGGAGGCAGCAGUGGGGAAUUUUGGACAAUGGGGGCAACCCUGAUCCAGCCAUGCCGCGUGAGUGAAGAAGGCCUUCGGGUUGUAAAGCUCUUUCGGUCGGGAAGAAAUCGCAUGGGUUAAUACCCUGUGCGGAUGACGGUACCGGCAUAAGAAGCACCGGCUAACUACGUGCCAGCAGCCGCCGCGGUAA